rnacentral:rRNA from 1 species
CUUAACACAUGCAAGUCGUGCGAGAAAGGGAGCAAUCCCCGGUAAAGCGGCGCACGGGUGAGUAACACGUAGGUAACGUGCCCCCAGGUGGUGGAUAACCUUCCGAAAGGAGGGCUAAUACAGCAUAAGACCACGGCUCCGAAAGGGGCUGAGGUCAAAGUCGGCCUCUAUUCAUAAGCUGACGCCAGGGGAUCGGCCUGCGGCCCAUCAGGUAGUUGGUAGGGUAACGGCCUACCAAGCCAAAGACGGGUAGCUGGUCUGAGAGGAUGAUCAGCCACACUGGAACUGAGACACGGUCCAGACUCCUACGGGAGGCAGCAGUGGGGAAUCUUGCGCAAUGGGCGAAAGCCUGACGCAGCGACGCCGCGUGGGUGAUGAAGGCCUUCGGGUUGUAAAGCCCUGUGGGGGGAGACGAAUAAGUCGUGGCGAAUAGCCACGAUGAUGACGGUAUCCCCUUAGCAAGCACCGGCUAACUCUGUGCCAGCAGCCGCGGUAAGACAGAGGGUGCAAACGUUGUUCGGAAUUACUGGGC